rnacentral:siRNA from 1 species
GAAAUUUUGGGUGGACCCUGUGCC